rnacentral:rRNA from 1 species
UUCCAGACUCCUCGGGAGGCAGCAGUGGGGAAUAUUGCACAAUGGGGGAGACCCUGAUGCAGCGACGCCGCGUGAGUGAAGAAGUAAUUCGUUAUGUAAAGCUCUCUCAGCAGGGAAGAAAAUGACGGUACCUGAGUAAGAAGCCCCGGCUAACUACGUGCCAGCAGCCGCGGUAAUACGUAGGGGGCAAGCGUUAUCCGGAUUUACUGGGUGUAAAGGGGGCGCAGACGGCGAUGCAAGCCAGGAGUGAAAGCCCGGGGCCCAACCCCGGGACUGCUCUUGGAACUGCGUGGCUGGAGUGCAGGAGGGGCAGGCGGAAUUCCUGGUGUAGCGGUGAAAUGCGUAGAUAUCAGGAGGAACACCGGCGGCGAAGGCGGCCUGCUGGACGGCGACUGACGUUGAGGCUCGAAAGCGUGGGGAGCAAACAGGAUUAGAUACCCCAGUAUGU